rnacentral:rRNA from 1 species
ACGCCGCGUGAGGGAUGAAGGCCUCUGGGCUGUAAACCACUUUUCUCAAGGAAGAAGAUCUAGAGGGAACUGGGGAAUAAGCCACGGCUAAUUCCGUGCCAGCAGCCGCGGUAAUACGGGAGUGGCAAGCGUUAUCCGGAAUUAUUGGGCGUAAAGCGUCCGCAGGCGGCCUUGUAAGUCUGUCGUUAAAGCGUGGAGCUUAACUCCAUUUCAGCAAGGGAAACUACAAGGCUUGAGUGUGGUAGGGGCAGAGGGAAUUCCCG